GUCUACGGCCAUACCACCCUGAAUGUGCCCGAUCUCGUCUGAUCUCGGAAGCUAAGCAGGGUCAGGCCUGGUUAGUACUUGGAAGGGAGACAGUGAUUGCUCGCU
rnacentral:rRNA from 1 species